CAGCCAUGAAAAGUUAACCCAUGGAUGGGAAGCUCAACUGAGAACUCCCUUUGACUGCCUCAACUUCCCCAGUUAGUUUCUUCUGAAUGAUUAGGUGAAGAUGUGCACUGAUAACGGUUAAUCAUUUAUAAUUCCAUGGACUGGUUGAAAGCCAAUGUACUAUCAAAGUCGCAGCGGUAGUACUUCAGCCUCAGGUAGCCCCUGAAGCAAAGUAGAGAAGUCUUUAUGCCGGCCCAGGAUAACCCAGUCACCUACUAACACUCAUCAACUGACAGCUGGGAAGUGAGCAGCAUGGAGAACAGAAAGCCUUAAAGUCUUGUUCCAGGCGUCACCUGUCAAUAAAAGGAGACAUCAUUAGACUGGUUAAGAUUCCACUGGAGUUGGACAGGGAAGAACUUAAGGCGGAAAGUAUAGUUGAGUAAGAAGGAAAAUGCAUGGAGAAGAAUGAUGGGGACUGUUUAGGAAAAAAAAAUCUAUUUAAAAUUUUCUUUUCAGAUAAGAUUUAAAAAAAAUAGAAGCGUAUGUUUAUGGGUAUCUGCUCCUUGAUUUACAUGCGAAGAGUACACAGGAACAGGAUCCUUGGGUCCUGUUUUAAAAAUGUUGCCACCACCUCACUGGAGAAGGAAGAUUGCCCUCAUGAAGGAAUACCAGAAAAGACACCACAGUACAAAGAGCUGUGCUAAGUUCCGGAGAAGAACAUCAUCCUCUCUCCACAAAGAAAUGAGGUUGGCAGGGGUUGAAGCACUCAAGGGAAGUUUCACGGGAGGUAGGAUAUGAGUCUGAAGACUUGAAUAGGCAUGGCUCGGCUGGUGGGAGGGAGAGGGUGUCAACCAUGGAACGUUUGGACUUAAAUGUUUCCCAAAGGCCUAUGUGUCAAAAGCUUGGUUGCCAGAGUGGCACUAUUAGAUGGCCCAACCCUGGAGAGGUAGAGCCUAAUGGGAGGUAUUUAGAACAUUGAAUGGCCUUGAAGUGGGUUGUAUGACCCCAGUUUCUCCCUCUGUGCCUUCUGCUCUUCAGCCAGAAGGCAAGCAAAUUUACUCUACUGCGUGCUUCUACCAGAACAUGCCAUGUCAUACGCACAAAGUAUUUUGGCCAAUCAACUAUGGACUAGACUCUCCAAAAUUAAGAGCCCAAAUUAAC
rnacentral:lncRNA from 1 species